GGGAUGGAUGGGGUAUUGAACGGGAGAGGCAGAAAAAGACGAAGUGAGGUGAAAAUAAUGUCAAGAGAGAUGAGGUAGGAUAGAGAGAGGGGAUGUAAAGAUGAGGAGAGAGGUGGGAUAGAGAGAGGGGAUGGAAAGAUGAGGAGAGAGGGGAUGGAAAGAUGAGGAGAGAGGUGGGAUAGAGAGAGGGGAUGGAAAGAUGAGGAGAGAGGUGGGAUAGAGAGAGGGGAUGGAAAGAUGAGGAGAGAGGUGGGAUAGAGAGAGGGGAUGGAAAGAUGAGGAGAGAGGUGGGAUAGAGAGAGGGGAUGGAAAGAUGAGGAGAGAAGUGGGAUAGAGAGAGGGGAUGGAAAGAUGAGGAGAGAAGUGGGAUAGAGAGAGGGGAUGGAAAGAUGAGGAGAGAGGUGGGAUAGAGAGAGGGGAUGGAAAGAUGAGGAGAGAGGUGGGAUAAAGAGAGGGGAUGGAAAGAUGAGGAGAGAGGUGGGAUAGAGAGAGGGGAUGGAAAGAUGAGGAGAGAGGUGGGAUAGAGAGAGGGGAUGGAAAGAUGAGGAGAGAAGUGGGAUAGAGAGAGGGGAUGGAAAGAUGAGGAGAGAAGUGGGAUAGAGAGAGGGGAUGGAAAGAUGAGGAGAGAAGUGGGAUAGAGAGAGGGGAUGGAAAGAUGAGGAGAGAGGUGGGAUAGAGAGAGGGGAUGGAAAGAUGAGGAGAGAAGUGGGAUAGAGAGAGGGGAUGGAAAGAUGAGGAGAGAAGUGGGAUAGAGAGAGGGGAUGGAAAGAUGAGGAGAGAGGUGGGAUAGAGAGAGGGGAUGGAAAGAUGAGGAGAGAGGUGGGAUAGAGAGAGGGGAUGGAAAGAUGAGGAGAGAGGUGGGAUAGAGAGAGGGGAUGGAAAGAUGAGGAGAGAAGUGGGAUAGAGAGAGGGGAUGGAAAGAUGAGGAGAGAAGUGGGAUAGAGAGAGGGGAUGGAAAGAUGAGGAGAGAAGUGGGAUAGAGAGAGGGGAUGGAAAGAGAGGAGGGUCGGGGGGAGUGAGAGAGAGAGACCGCGAGAGAGUGGGAGAGAGAGAGAGCAGGGGUGGGGAGUGAGAGAGGAUGAGUCGGAUCAGAAAGGGAUUAUUUUAAGGAGACAGGGGAACAAUGAGUGGAACUGUCAGAACAGGGAAGAGGGAGGGG